rnacentral:rRNA from 1 species
GAUGAACGCUGGCGGCGUGCCUAAUACAUGCAAGUCGAGCGAACGGACGAGGAGCUUGCUUCUCUGAUGUUAGCGGCGGACGGGUGAGUAACACGUGGAUAACCUACCUAUAAGACUGGGAUAACUUCGGGAAACCGGAGCUAAUACCGGAUAAUAUUUUGAACCGCAUGGUUCAAAAGUGAAAGACGGUCUUGCUGUCACUUAUAGAUGGAUCCGCGCUGCAUUAGCUAGUUGGUAAGGUAACAGCUUACCAAGGCAACGAUGCAUAGCCGACCUGAGAGGGUGAUCGGCCACACUGGAACUGAGACACGGUCCAGACUCCUACGGGAGGCAGCAGUAGGGAAUCUUCCGCAAUGGGCGAAAGCCUGACGGAGCAACGCCGCGUGAGUGAUGAAGGUCUUCGGAUCGUAAAACUCUGUUAUUAGGGAAGAACAUAUGUGUAAGUAACUGUGCACAUCUUGACGGUACCUAAUCAGAAAGCCACGGCUAACUACGUG